rnacentral:lncRNA from 1 species
CAUAAAAUUAUUUUGGUUUAUUUUUUUUAAGUAUGGGAUAGGUAUGGGGUAGGUAUGGAUUGGGUAUGGAGAAAUGGAUUAUCUAUGGGUAUCUUCGAAUUCAUUGGGUAUGGAGAUGGGUAUCUCUUUUCUUAUCCGAUCGGAUAUCGGAUAGGAUUUGGGUAUAGGAUAUUAAGUUCGGAUUUGGAGAUAGAUAGGACAAUAUUCGAUUCAAAUCCUACCAUUGCCAUCCUUAUCUGAUUUUCGUCUUUAUAUCUAUGGGAGACCUGAAAAGAUCUGGAGGUAGCGUGUAUAUGAUUAGGGGUGCAAAUGGAUCGAGUCGAAUUGGAUCAUGAGUGUCCUCGAUCCGAUGCAGUCCCUUGAUUGGGUCUUAAUAUUGGAUCUAGAUCCAAUCUAAGUGAAAAUCGGGUUGGAUCG